ACAAACAGGAGCAUUCACAUAACUAUGAAGCAGGACUAAUCACCAAUCCCACCAUGGGCAGGACAGCAGAGAUCAUCACUAUGCUAACUGCCAGGAAUAGGAAUCCACACACUUCCGCCCACUGCAUCCUGACCUGAAGUGCUACCAGUGUCUGUUGGAGACACGCUCACAUGCAACAAGUUUGGUUAGCAGGACAUUUCCAGGGUAUCACAGUAUACUGAAAUAUUACAAGAAAGGUCCAUAAAUGCUGUACAUCCUCCAAUCUGUAAAUUGUUCAGCAACAGGAAGACAGUGAAAGAUAGACGGCAACUCACCAAGAAGAAUAUGUCAGUGAUUUCCCCUAAGAUGUGAUUGUUCCACAGAAGCAUUCUUCAGGGGAGUGGGUCUGUGCAGGCAGUAAGUGGGAAGAUCUUCACUUAGUGUGCCGUCCUUCCUCAGCUUCAAGAGAAUCCACUUGAAGGAGAAGUCCCAUAUAUUAUGUCCAAUGCUGUGAAGCAUCUUUUGGUGCCUUCAUUUCAUCCAACACCAAAAUCCUCAAUGGUGAAGAAAUCUAUAAAUGUAGUAUUGACCUUGAGAAAAAGUUGAGCACAACUGCACCCUCAUGCAGCACUGGAGAAACCUACACAUGUAAAGAAGGACAGUUUUCAUUUGACUCUCAGAGCUGAUUGUAUAUUGGCAAACAUAUUUUUCUGCCAUUGCUUAGGGAUAAGAAAUCUAACAGAAACAUCAAAUAAAAUACUGAAGAGAGAAAAAAACCACUUUUUUUUUUAAGGCCUUCUAGAAGGGGCAAUUGAGCAUACUCCACAUAUGUUGGCUAGUUUACCAGGAAAAAAUAAAAGGAGCCAAUUUGAGCAGUGGACUCUAGGUGACAGUUCUGUUUGGGCUGAUGAAAUCGAUCAGCCAUGAAUACUCUGUCAAUGUCUCCCACUACGAUUCUCUUGCCAUUUUUUUUUUUACCCAACCUCCACUAUUUGGCCUAAACAUCACCUCUGUCAGUCUCAGAGUUACACUCUCCCUCCUGUAUUCUCAAAUUUUCACAUAGUUGUAUGUGUGAUUAUAACAUCAUGGUUUCAGCUGGUUUCAUCCUCUGGUCCGUUUACCCACCUCUUUUGAUCAUCGCCUUUUGUCUGGGCCAUAAGUGAAAGUAAAAAGGACAUUAGACAGGAUCUCACUGGGUUGCAUAGGCUGGUCUCAAACUCCUGGACUCAGGCUCAAGUAAUACUUGCCUCAGCCUCACGAAAUUCUGGAAUUACAGGCACUAUUCUGAGUGUUGGAAGAUAUAGCAGUGGACAAAACUGAUAAAACAUCUCUGCCUUCAUGAAGACUAAUGAGGAGACAUGUGCCCAGUGACAAAGUUUAGAGUCAAGAACAGGGAUGUCUGGCCUCACUUUGGAUAAUCUCGACCUUUUCUGCUGCAAGCAUAACACUAGAUAGAAAAGAGGACCUGUGAAACAUCUUCUCCACGUUUCCCUUCCCUAGUGGGAAGCUUAUUGUUUCAGAGUCAAGAACUUGGUGCCAGGCUACAAUCCCAUGGCUACCAUUCUCUAACUGUUACUUUGCACUUCUAAGAUCAUGAAAGGUGAGCCCAUGAAAUUAAACUUUUGUUAAAAAGUGGAAGAACUUCAGAAUUGGAAGACCCCCGUCCAUGCAGUAAUCUCUUCAACAGCAUAUUUGGCAGAUGAUCAUCCAGGUCCAGUAUGGAUAUCACUACUGGCAGAGUUCACAAAAAUCAGACCAUCCUUUAUUGGCGAGAGUCCACCUGAAAUCUCAAAGGAAGAAUGGAAAGCUAUCCCUGAUAUUCUAGCAUCACUGUUAUUUGGCUUCCUGCACUCAAUGGAAACAAUACCCUAACCUUUCCAAUAAUUAACCUAAUCACUACCAAGUAUAUGAAAUCUAUCCAAGUGAUGCCUGCAGAAGGGAUAUUUUGCCUCCAGGUAUUGCAAACUCAAGACCUGGGGACUACCUAUGUGGGUAAGAGUAAUUGCUUAUAUGAUCUUACUAGAUUAAAUGUAGUGAGGUGUCUUUCCACUAAACGUGUUUAUGUACCCUUACAGUAUGCUAUAAAAGGACCACAAGAAGGUCAGUUUCCCACUGGACCUUGUUCAGGAGCUAUGCUGACUUAUAGGAAGAUAAAUUUAUUAAUAACUUGACCUCUGCUCAAACACCACUAGGUAUUUUUCACCUCAUUUUCAGCCCCUGAGAUCCUAUAUUGGGUCUAUGGAGAAAUUGUGUACUCUGUUGUACAUUGCCUUCUUGCUGGCUUGGAUCUUUCUGUUUGGUCUUGCUCACUCCUGCCUUCCAAAAAGCUCUGCCUGGAAUUACCCAUGGUACUCACAGGCCAAAGAGGUCAAUAACUGAAAUUAGAACCAACCUCAAAACAGAUGAAGAUCAGUUAUUUUCUAUGAAGGAAAGGUUCCAAUAAAGUUCCUGGGGGCUCACUGUUGGCAGCAGUGGGGUACUAGUUG